rnacentral:piRNA from 1 species
GACCAGUCGGUGUGCUGACCGGGUA